GAUUUCAACUAAAAAUGUCAUCAAUAACAAAGUUGUAUAACUCAUCAAUAUCUAUAACUUUUAUUUUGGUCAUUUUUCUUCAUCCGAUAAAGUAAUAGUAACAUUGUUCACAAAAUUUACAUAUAUCUCUUAUAGUUUAUAAACUAUGUAAGAGAUAUGUACAUUUUGUGAACAAUGUUACAAAUGGCUUUGUCGGAUGAAGAAAUGACCCAAAUAAAAGUUAUAGAUGUUGAUGAGUUAUACAACUUUGAUGUUGAUGACUUUUUCAGUUGAAAUC
rnacentral:pre_miRNA from 1 species